rnacentral:rRNA from 1 species
UCGAGGAUCUUCGGCAAUGGGCGCAAGCCUGACCGAGCGACGCCGCGUGAGCGAUGAAGGCCUUCGGGUUGUAAAGCUCUGUCGGGGGGGAGAAAGGGGCAACCUUGAUCGACCCCCGGAGGAAGCACGGGCUAAGUUCGUGCCAGCAGCCGCGGUAAGACGAACCGUGCGAACGUUGUUCGGAAUCACUGGGCUUAAAGGGCGCGUAGGCGGACAAUCAAGUCAGGGGUGAAAUCCCACGGCUCAACCGUGGAAGUGCCUUUGAUACUGACGGUCUCGAGGGAGGUAGGGGCGUGCGGAACUUCCGGUGGAGCGGUGAAAUGCGUAGAUAUCGGAAGGAACGCCGGUGGCGAAAGCGGCGCGCUGGACCUCUUCUGACGCUGAGGCGCGAAAGCUAGGGGAGCAAACGGGAUUAGAUACCCCCGUAGUCC